AGUGAACGCUGGCGGUAGGCCUAACACAUGCAAGUCGAACGGCAGCACAGGAGAGCUUGCUCUCUGGGUGGCGAGUGGCGGACGGGUGAGGAAUACAUCGGAAUCUACUCUGUCGUGGGGGAUAACGUAGGGAAACUUACGCUAAUACCGCAUACGACCUACGGGUGAAAGCAGGGGACCUUCGGGCCUUGCGCGAUUGAAUGAGCCGAUGUCGGAUUAGCUAGUUGGCGGGGUAAAGGCCCACCAAGGCGACGAUCCGUAGCUGGUCUGAGAGGAUGAGCGUCCACACUGGAACUGAGACACGGUCCAGACUCCUACGGGAGGCAGCAGUGGGGAAUAUUGGACAAUGGGCGCAAGCCUGAUCCAGCCAUACCGCGUGGGUGAAGAAGGCCUUCGGGUUGUAAAGCCCUUUUGUUGGGAAAGAAAUCCAGCUGGCUAAUACCCGGUUGGGAUGACGGACCCAAAGAAUAAGCACCGGCUAACUUCGUGCCAGCCGCCGCCGUAA
rnacentral:rRNA from 1 species